rnacentral:rRNA from 1 species
GACGAACGCUGGCGGCGCGCUUAACACAUGCAAGUCGAACGGAAAGGCCUUUUCGGAGGUACUCGAGUGGCGAACGGGUGAGUAACACGUGGGUGAUCUGCCCUGCACUCUGGGAUAAGCCUGGGAAACUGGGUCUAAUACCGGAUAGGACCGCACUUUAGUGUGUGUGGUGGAAAGUUUUUUCGGUGUAGGAUGAGCCCGCGGCCUAUCAGCUUGUUGGUGGGGUAAUGGCCUACCAAGGCGGCGACGGGUAGCCGGACUGAGAGGUUGGUCGGCCACAUUGGGACUGAGAUACGGCCCAGACUCCUACGGGAGGCAGCAGUGGGGAAUAUUGCACAAUGGGCGCAAGCCUGAUGCAGCGACGCCGCGUGGGGGAUGACGGCCUUCGGGUUGUAAACUCCUUUCGCCAGGGACGAAGCGUUUUGUGACGGUACCUGGAGAAGAAGCACCGGCUAACUACGUG